CUAUACAUGCAAGUCGAACGAACUUCCGUUAAUGAUCAGGACGUGCUUGCACUGAAUGAGAUUUAACACGAAGUGAGUGGCGGACGGGUGAGUAACACGUGGGUAACCUGCCCAGAAGCAGGGGAUAACACCUGGAAACAGAUGCUAAUACCGUAUAACAGAGAAAACCGCCUGGUUUUCUUUUAAAAGAUGGCUCUGCUAUCACUUCUGGAUGGACCCGCGGCGCAUUAGCUAGUUGGUGAGGUAACGGCUCACCAAGGCGAUGAUGCGUAGCCGACCUGAGAGGGUAAUCGGCCACAUUGGGACUGAGACACGGCCCAGACUCCUACGGGAGGCAGCAGUAGGGAAUCUUCCACAAUGGACGCAAGUCUGAUGGAGCAACGCCGCGUGAGUGAAGAAGGGUUUCGGCUCGUAAAGCUCUGUUGUUAAAGAAGAACGUGGGUGAGAGUAACUGUUCACCCAGUGACGGUAUUUAACCAGAAAGCCACGGCUAACUACGUGCCAGCAGCCGCGGUAAUACGUAGGUGGCAAGCGUUAUCCGGAUUUAUUGGGCGUAAAGCGAGCGCAGGCGGUCUUUUAAGUCUAAUGUGAAAGCCUUCGGCUCAACCGAAGAAGUGCAUUGGAAACUGGGAGACUUGAGUGCAGAAGAGGACAGUGGAACUCCAUGUGUAGCGGUGAAAUGCGUAGAUAUAUGGAAGAACACCAGUGGCGAAGGCGGCUGUCUGGUCUGUAACUGACGCUGAGGCUCGAAAGCAUGGGUAGCGAACAGGAUUAGAUACCCUGGUAGUCCAUGCCGUAAACGAUGAUUACUAAGUGUUGGAGGGUUUCCGCCCUUCAGUGCUGCAGCUAACGCAUUAAGUAAUCCGCCUGGGGAGUACGACCGCAAGGUUGAAACUCAAAAGAAUUGACGGGGGCCCGCACAAGCGGUGGAGCAUGUGGUUUAAUUCGAAGCUACGCGAAGAACCUUACCAGGUCUUGACAUCUUCUGCCAACCUAAGAGAUUAGGCGUUCCCUUCGGGGACAGAAUGACAGGUGGUGCAUGGUGUCGUCAGCUCG
rnacentral:rRNA from 1 species